GCGCCACCAAAAUGGUCACCAGACUACGGAUCUGGAGGUUAGGAGUUCGACUCUUCUCGGGCGCGCCA
rnacentral:tRNA from 1 species